rnacentral:sRNA from 1 species
GCUGGGUGUGGUGGUGCAUACCUGUAAUCUCAGUGGCUUGGGAGUCUGAGGCAGGAGGAUCACAAGUUCAAGGCCAGCCUCAGCAACUUAGUGAGACCCUGUCUCAA